rnacentral:lncRNA from 1 species
UAGUGACCUGAAGACCAUGCAUCGAAUUGCAAAUAUGAGUAGGGCUUCCAGUAUCGAAUACCCAGGUCAUUAUAUCUAUAAGAGAGAAGUUACAAGGUGUUAUCACAUAAGUAUAUUAUCCAGCAACUGAUUGCUUCUUUUUUGGCCUGUUCGGAUCAAGGGAAGCAAUAUACUACGGAUAGUUCCUCUUCCAGUGACCCUGCUUCUUG